AGUAAUGUGAAUUGCAGAAUUCAGUGAAUCAUCGAAUCUUUGAACGCACCUUGCGCUCCUUGGUAUUCCUUGGAGCAUGCCUGUUUGAGUAUCAUGAAAUUCUCAAAGUAAACCUUUUGUUAAUUCAACUGGUCUUUGCUUUGGAUUUGGAGGCC
rnacentral:rRNA from 1 species